UUUCUUUAGGACAACGUUGGCACAGUUUAGCGACAUGGGAGAGGACGCACAGUGUCACAAAUUAACAGACCUGGUUUUUCAAACCGACAAAGUUUGCAUCCCGACCUGACUCAUCUGUUUGGUGGUGCUUUUGAUAAUAGCAUGUUUUAUAUGGUCGCAUGCAGUUGGACACAUGGAGGAGAAUCAUUUUCGCAGUAUCCUCAAAACUGUCUUUUUUACAUAACUGCUGACAGCUACAGGGACAUAAACACAAAAAAUGCUGCUUAGAGACAAGUGUCCACGAUAGUAGGAUUGUCAGUUUAGUAGUGAGAUUGUGCUAGAUGUGGCUAGCUAGCUAACCUAGCCAAUGAGGUGUGUGUGUGUGAAAUAAAGUCAUAAAUUAUGCUAGUUACUACCCCUGAUAGCUACCAAAUAAUCAUGUUUGAAAGAGUGUGAUUGUGUAUGUCAGAUAAAUAGAAAUGGUAGAUAUUACUGUACCCUGAUAAUUUAGUCAUAUAACCGUGUGUCUAUGUGUAGAGUAGGUGACAUGUCCAUGAUAGCUAUCUAAUGACUAUACUUAUGCUAGAUAAUGGUUUGGCUUAUCAUGUUCAUGUCUAUGUAGAAGAAGACUGUAGGAGGAAGUGGAGAGGACUCAGGGACAGGUGGCAGAGAAAGAGAGGAGGUCUGGGUCAGCAGCUUCAGGCCAGCAGCCUUGGCGCUUCUGCCACAUUCUUUUCUGGAUCCAUUUAUUGUGCCUAGGGCAACGAGUGGUAAUUUUACAGCCAAGACCCUCUACUAUGUCAUCCACAAGUGUUGUCGCCACUGGUGCAUCAAGACCCUCAACGUCACCUACAAGUGCGACCAUCACCUCCACCGGUGGAGUGAGACCCUCUACAACAUCAUCCACAAGUAUGACCACCACCGGUGCAGCCAUGGAAGAUGAUGAAAUGGAGGAAGCACCUCUGGAUCUAGGACCACCUGAGACUAUUAUGAACCUCACGAAAGUGACCACUGAGGACCUCGUUGAACAGGAUGUGGCCGAGGAGAGAAACUGAGAGAGAAAUGAAGAGGAACGUCACACCAGGCGUCAUCGGAGGUACCAGCCCCCACUCAACUAAUUUCAGCAGAGGCUCUUCCAAGCCGUCGAGAGGGAUGCAGUACAACCUGAUUCUCACAGAAACUAUGACGAGACCCUCCUUACCAUGAGCCUGGUGCCAACACUGAAGAGGCUGCCUCAGCAAAGAAAACCAGCAGUCAAGGAUAAUGUAUCAGCUGCUUUUCGAAGCCGAGUUCAAUGGUACGUCUUUUUUUUCCUCCACAAUGUUGCGACAGUGAAGUAAAGCAGGUCAUUUUUACAGUAUAGUUAUGUAUGCUAAUUGGUAUUUCAAAUCAAAGUAUUAAUACCGGCAGGGUAGCCUAGUGGUUAGAGCGUUGGACUAGUAACCGGAAGGUUGCAAGUUCAAAUCCCCGAGCUGACAAAUCUGUCAUUCUGCCCCUGAACAGGCAGUUAACCCACUGUUCCUAGGCAGUCAUUGAAAAUAAGAAUUUGUUCUUAACUGACUUGCCUAGUAAAAUAAAGGUAAAAUAAAAAUAAAAAAAGAGGCAAAUGUAUAGCUGUUUCUGGGUUACAAAAUAUCAAAUAUAUAUUACAUUUAAAAAAAAAAAAAAAAAGUUUUACAAUACACAUACCUGUCACAUUCUUUCCUGUACUUGAAUACUUAUUAAAUGAUGUUUUCAUAGUAGUUUCAGUUUAUUAAUAUCUCAUUUAGACUUAAUCUGCUUAUUUCUUCCCUACACCUUUGCAGAUCUAAGACAAGAUGAAAGUAAAAACACAUUCUCUUCCUAAUUUGUUUUUUUUCCACCUGUAUUUUGUCAGGCCAGUGAACAUGGUGGUAAACUGUACUAUUUGUAUGGACCCUAGGUUAUCCUUUCCCUUUGUUAUCAUACUAACUGUAUGUCGUAUAACA
ensembl:lncRNA